UACGUAGGGUGCAAGCGUUGUCCGGAAUUAUUGGGCGUAAAGAGCUCGUAGGCGGUCUGUCGCGUCUGGUGUGAAAACUCGGGGCUUAACUCCGGGCCUGCAUCGGGUACGGGCAGACUAGAGUGCGGUAGGGGAGACUGGAAUUCCUGGUGUAGCGGUGAAAUGCGCAGAUAUCAGGAGGAACACCGGUGGCGAAGGCGAGUCUCUGGGCAGUAACUGACGCUGAGGAGCGAAAGCGUGGGGAGCGAACAGG
rnacentral:rRNA from 1 species